rnacentral:rRNA from 1 species
CCUACGGGUGGCAGCAGUGAGGAAUAUUGGUCAAUGGGCGCGAGCCUGAACCAGCCAAGUAGCGUGAAGGAUGACUGCCCUACGGGUUGUACACUUCUUUUAUAAAGGAAUAAAGUGAGGCACGUGUGCCUUUUUGUAUGUACUUUAUGAAUAAGGAUCGGCUAACUCCGUGCCAGCAGCCGAGGUAAUACGGAGGAUCCGAGCGUUAUCCGGAUUUAUUGGGUUUAAAGGGAGCGUAGAUGGGUUGUUAAGUCAGUGGGGAAAGUUUGCGGCUCAACCGUAGAAUUGCAGUUGAUACUGGCAGUCUUGAGUACAGUAGAGGUAGGCGGAAUGCGUGGUGUAGCGGUGAAAUGCUUAGAUAUCACGAAGAACUCCGAUUGCGAAGGCAGCUUACCAAACCGCCACUGACAUUGAUGCUCGAAAGCGUGGGUAUCAAACAGGAUUAGAUACCCGGGUAGUC